GACGAACGCUGGCGGCGUGCUUAACACAUGCAAGUCGAACGAUGAACUCCAGCUUGCUGGGGGGAUUAGUGGCGAACGGGUGAGUAACACGUGAGUAACCUGCCCUGGACUCUGGGAUAACCCCGAGAAAUCGGAGCUAAUACCGGAUAGGACCUUUCCCCGCAUGGGGUUUGGUGGAAAGUUUUUCGGUUUGGGAUGGACUCGCGGCCUAUCAGCUUGUUGGUGAGGUAAUGGCUCACCAAGGCGUCGACGGGUAGCCGGCCUGCGAGGGUGACCGGCCACACUGGGACUGAGACACGGCCCAGACUCCUACGGGAGGCAGCAGUGGGGAAUAUUGCACAAUGGGCGCAAGCCUGAUGCAGCAACGCCGCGUGCGGGAUGACGGCCUUCGGGUUGUAAACCGCUUUUAGUAAGGAAGAAGGGGAGCUUGCUCCUUGACGGUACUUGCAGAAAAAGGACCGGCUAACUACGUGCCAGCCGCCGCAGUAAAAC
rnacentral:rRNA from 1 species